ACUAUAAUUUGGCCAAAGAAGGACUUUUGUUUUUUAAUUAAAUGUUAAUUUAAAAGCAGCCUAUUAUCAUUGUAUUAGCAUGUUACCGUUACCCCUUACAGCUCCGACAACGUUUUGUUCCAUCGUCCACGCGGUGCCAAAUCACACCAGGAGUGAAGCAACUGGAUUCGCGAGACCACGAGAUUCUGGGAUGCUUCUGAAACGUGCCGCGGCGAGGCUGGUAUAAUAUAUAUAUAUAACACAAGCAUUGACUUGACUAGAGCGACCGUGAUUAGCUCCGGUGGCCGCGUCGGAGCCGUAAUGCGUGGCAGACAUGAUGCUCAGAUCAUCUCUCACAUCACUGAAUCUGCUGUUAAAAAUGAACCAUCCAUUCAUCAUAUCAUCGUGCAAAACUAAGAAUUAGUCUAAUUAGAAUCAUUGUAAUGUGACGAUCGGGUGCGGGUCGGGUCGGUUAUUUAAAUCAGAGAAAAAUAUAGGUGCAGGUGGGUGGAGGGCGGCUAAUUUAUUUGAAGCAGUGGAUUCGGGUGACAUUUGAGCUCAUCCACGCAUCUCUAGCGCACGGGUUAUACAUUUGUGCCGCUACACGUGACAUAUAAAAGCAAAUAGACAUAUGAUUAUAACAAUAUAUUUUCUGUAUGUGUUUUGUAUACAGCUCAUGGUACACAGCAAAAUCUCCAGUGUUGAAAUCCUAGUGUUAAGGACUUUUAGAGUAAAGUGUUAAAGUUGUGGUGUUGAACUUUAGGGGAUUAACACUAGCUAGUGUAAACAGCGCCCUCUGGCCGGUGUCAAUACGCAGAGAAACUCUUAUAACACUCUGUUGAGUGUUAUUAGUCACAUCCGGGACAUUUGCUCGUGUGCGCGCCUGACCCAUCUGGAAUAUUUUUCAUAGAAGCCAUUUUCUUAGAUUCGCUAUGCGGAGCAUAUGAGGACGGAAAACAGCGAAAUUAAGUGUUUAAUCUUACUCACAAUAUGUGUUUUGUAAGAUCAUAUCGUUUUAUAGCGAUAUUUAUGAGGUGUGUGCGCCUAAACGUUUUUUUAAAGACAUUUCUUCCACUCGCGAGGCGGACCAGACGAGGACGUUUCUUUUUAAAAGGGAAACGCCGAAAGUUAAGUGUUUUAUCUAAUUUAUUUCACAACAUCAUAUUGAUUUAUAGCAAUAUUUGUGUGAUGUGCACUCCUAAACUUUUUCUCAGAUAGAUAUUUUCCUUCACUCAUGAUGCGGAGAAGACAGGGAAAUUGGUUUUAUCAUGGAAAACACCGAAAAUACAUUUGAAUGGCUAUGCAUUGACGCGGAAGACACUUUUAACAGGGGAAACAUAAGAAAGAGACAUUUUCUUUCACUGGAGAUGUGGAGCAGACGGGGAAGUUGGUCUUCUCAAGGAAAACACUGAAUGGUUCAUGCUGGCUUAACAGAAAAAUCGAAAGAUGAUGUGCUUGAAGAGUAUGAAGCCACCAAUACAUUAAGUGGGAUGAAAAGAGCUUACACAUACCAGAGACAUGGGUAAGCCACAAUUGCAUAUUUUAAGAUUAUUGAUUGUCAUGCUUAAUUUUUUGAUUAUUAAACAAUAAUUAUAAAGAGUCUGAUCUCCUUCUAAAAAUGUUUCUUAAAAGCAUCACAUGUAAGUUUUUGGUAUGCUUGCAUUGUUAUUUAUUUAUGUGCUGUCCCAUUUAUG